AUCGACGAUCAUGACUAUGAUACGAAGAUGAAGAAGGUUCACGAUUUCAUCGGCGAUGGCGACAAGGUGAAGAUCACCCUGCGGUUCCGUGGCCGCGAAUUGUCGCACCAGCAACUGGGCAUGCAGCUUCUUCAGCGCGUCGCGGAAAAUGUAGCGGAAAUCGCCAAGGUCGAAGCCUAUCCGCGCAUGGAAGGCCGCCAGAUGCUGAUGGUGCUCGCGCCGAAAUAAGCGCCCCCCUUUCCGGCAAGGUGACAUGCGAUUGGGCGGGGUCUGGAAACAGAUGCCGCCCGUUGGCUUUCAGGACGAACGGUCUGGAACUA
rnacentral:misc_RNA from 1 species